rnacentral:rRNA from 1 species
GUUUGAUCCUGGCUCAGGACGAACGCUGGCGGCGUGCCUAAUACAUGCAAGUAGAACGCUGAAGAGAGGAGCUUGCUCUCCUUGGAUGAGUUGCGAACGGGUGAGUAACGCGUAGGUAACCUGCCUUGUAGCGGGGGAUAACUAUUGGAAACGAUAGCUAAUACCGCAUAACAAUGGAUGACACAUGUCAUUUAUUUGAAAGGGGCAAUUGUUCCACUACAAGAUGGACCUGCGUUGUAUUAGCUAGUAGGUGAGGUAAUGGCUCACCUAGGCGACGAUACAUAGCCGACCUGAGAGGGUGAUCGGCCACACUGGGACUGAGACACGGCCCAGACUCCUACGGGAGGCAGCAGUAGGGAAUCUUCGGCAAUGGGGGCAACCCUGACCGAGCAACGCCGCGUGAGUGAAGAAGGUUUUCGGAUCGUAAAGCUCUGUUGUAGGUCAAGAACGGGUGUGAGAGUGGAAAGUUCACACUGUGACGGUAGCUUACCAGAAAGGGACGGCUAACUACGUGCCAGCAGCCGCGGUAAUACGUAGGUCCCGAGCGUUGUCCGGAUUUAUUGGGCGUAAAGCGAGCGCAGGCGGUUUGAUAAGUCUGAAGUUAAAGGCUGUAGCUCAACCAUAGUUCGCUUUGGAAACUGUCAAACUUGAGUGCAGAAGGGGAGAGUGGAAUUCCAUGUGUAGCGGUGAAAUGCGUAGAUAUAUGGAGGAACACCGGUGGCGAAAGCGGCUCUCUGGCCUGUAACUGACACUGAGGCUCGAAAGCGUGGGGAGCAAACAGGAUUAGAUACCCUGGUAGUCCACGCCGUAAACGAUGAGUGCUAGAUGUAGGGAGCUAUAAGUUCUCUGUAUCGCAGUAACGCAAUAAGCACUCCGCCUGGGGAGUACGACCGCAAGGUUGAAACUCAAAGGAAUUGACGGGGGCCCGCACAAGCGGUGGAGCAUGUGGUUUAAUUCGAAGCAACGCGAAGAACCUUACCAGGUCUUGACAUCCCGAUGCUAUUUCUAGAGAUAGAAAGUUACUUCGGUACAUCGGUGACAGGUGGUGCAUGGUUGUCGUCAGCUCGUGUCGUGAGAUGUUGGGUUAAGUCCCGCAACGGGCGCAACCCCUAUUGUUAGUUGCCAUCAUUCAGUUGGGCACUCUAGCGAGACUGCCGGUAAUAAACCGGAGGAAGGUGGGGAUGACGUCAAAUCAUCAUGCCCCUUAUGACCUGGGCUACACACGUGCUACAAUGGUUGGUACAACGAGUUGCGAGUCGGUGACGGCGAGCUAAUCUCUUAAAGCCAAUCUCAGUUCGGAUUGUAGGCUGCAACUCGCCUACAUGAAGUCGGAAUCGCUAGUAAUCGCGGAUCAGCACGCCGCGGUGAAUACGUUCCCGGGCCUUGUACACACCGCCCGUCACACCACGAGAGUUUGUAACACCCGAAGUCGGAGGUAACCUUUUGGAGCCAGCCGCCUAAGGUGGGACAGAUGAUUGGGGCGAAGUCGUAACAAGGUA